GCUGAACAGGUCCAUUCUGGAUUUUGGAUGACCGGUUCUUUGUCGGAGUUCCCGGUAGAUCUGACUACAGGGACAGCAGUGACUUCUCUGUAUGGCUGCGUCGUGAACGGGAGGAAGGUUGGAUAGUCAGUUAUCCUUCCUUCAGUGACUAUCCAUUCUGACUGUUGUCGUGCUGCGGCUGAGGUCUCCUGGCUGUCGAUGAAACGAUAUACUCAGUCAAGAAAAGGCUCUCUUGUGUAUCCUUCAUACCAUGCUCGUAGCCAUUUUUCUCGAUAUCGUUUUCGAUCUUCAAGAGAGAUAUCAUUCACCCAUUGCUCUCUUCUGGGAUCUUCGUUGUCCGGUACUAUCGUACCUUCAUUUCUUGGCUCCGCAGAAGUUUAUUUCUUUCAUAUAUCCACUGUGAAGUGGGCUGAUUAUCAGGAUGUAUCUGGGUGUGAUUCCGAAGCAUAGCUGAUAGGCGGGCUAGCUAACCAGAAGAAAAUAAGAGGUAAAGCACGAGGUUAUGAAAUAAUAAUAAGAGUUACGGG
rnacentral:misc_RNA from 1 species